rnacentral:rRNA from 1 species
GACGAACGCUGGCGGCGUGCUUAACACAUGCAAGUCGAACGGAAAGGCCCUGCUUUUGUGGGGUGCCCGAGUGGCGAACGGGUGAGUAACACGUGAGUAACCUGCCCUUGACUUUGGGAUAACUUCAGGAAACUGGGGCUAAUACCGGAUAGGAGCUCCUGCUGCAUGGUGGGGGUUGGAAAGUUUCGGCGGUUGGGGAUGGACUCGCGGCUUACCAGCUUGUUGGUGGGGUAGUGGCUUACCAAGGCUUUGACGGGUAGCCGGCCUGAGAGGGUGACCGGCCACAUUGGGACUGAGAUACGGCCCAGACUCCUACGGGAGGCAGCAGUGGGGAAUAUUGCACAAUGGGUGGAAGCCUGAUGCAGCAACGCCGCGUGCGGGAUGACGGCCUUCGGGUUGUAAACCGCUUUCGCCUGUGACGAAGCGUGAGUGACGGUAAUGGGUAAAGAAGCACCGGCUAACUACGUG